rnacentral:lncRNA from 1 species
CUUCUAUACAAUUUCAUGGCCUAAAGAAAUGGAUAAACUCUUUGUUCAAACAUUAAAAGCUGAAGCGAUGAAAAACGUUGCUUGUAUAGCUACCAAUUCACAUGAUAUUACUAUUGCACGGCGCAUCGUAAACAUCGACUUAGGUACAAACAUCUCAUACGAGACUAGCAUGGCAAUGUUUAAUAAGUUAAAAACAGGGUACUCUGUUUUUCUCCACAUUAUUUCUACAUCCGGGGUUUACAGGGAUAAAACGACAAAUAUUGUUCAUGCCCCUACUGGAAUUUGGAAAAUAUGGUUGAAGGUAAAUUUUAUUUCAUAAUUUUUCAUUUUAUGAUAUCUCAUACCAUUGUUUAAUUUAUGUUUUGUGUUAUAUAUGAUCGUUUUCAGAAUAUGCCAAUGUCUAAAGCUU